rnacentral:tRNA from 2 species
GGUUGAUUAGUGUAGUUGGUUAUCACAUCGGAUUUUGAGAUCAAAUUUCCGGGGACCCGGGUUCGAAUCCCAGAUCGACCU